GAGUGUGAAUAUGUCCUCUAAUUUAUGACGUCAUGUUGGUUGCAAGCUCUUCAAAAUGGUUGAAUAUCACUGCUAUCAUCCAAGAUGAUAAUUUCAAACUUCAUUCACUGGUAAAUGUGAUGAAACACUGGAGAAAAACGUAAACUGAUAUCAACAGUCUUUAGAGUUAAUACAUUUAUAACCAGUGUAAGUUGAGCUUGCAACCAACAUGACGUCAUAAAUUAGCGGACAUAUUCACACUCAUUUACAUAUCAAACAAAUUGAAAUAUCUUGGGAACAAACCAUAAAAACAAGAAACUGAAAAAUAAGUUACACUACAACUUAAAGAGUUC